rnacentral:rRNA from 1 species
AAAUUGAAGAGUUUGAUCAUGGCUCAGAUUGAACGCUGGCGGCAGGCCUAACACAUGCAAGUCGAACGGUAGCACAGAGAGCUUGCUCUCGGGUGACGAGUGGCGGACGGGUGAGUAAUGUCUGGGAAACUGCCUGAUGGAGGGGGAUAACUACUGGAAACGGUGGCUAAUACCGCAUAACGUCGCAAGACCAAAGAGGGGGACCUUCGGGCCUCUUGCCAUCAGAUGUGCCCAGAUGGGAUUAGCUGGUUGGUGAGGUAACGGCUCACCAAGGCGACGAUCCCUAGCUGGUCUGAGAGGAUGACCAGCCACACUGGAACUGAGACACGGUCCAGACUCCUA